UGGCCGCUUCUACCAGACUGGUUCGGUCGAGGACAGUUCUGAACCCCAUGGUCCAUGCUGCCACAACGAACACAAGCCCCCCUUGGCCUUCCAGCACUCACCAGGAUGGUUCUGUCAAUAUUUGGAACACGCAGGUCGGCCACCAGAGGUCUUGCCUCCGUCCACCCGGUCCCAUUUUCUCUUUUUAUCAUUAGUCUUGCCCGAUGGGCCAGACUGUGGCUUAGCCUUAAGCUUAGCUUCUUAAGCCAAGUUAGACUCCAACAAAGCCACCCGUUCCACUUCCAGUGGGUACCUAGAUGAGUAGGAUUUCGGUUUAAUCACACAUUUGGAAAACGUCCCAUACCAUUCUCCAAAGCACCUUACUAUUGCGAAUGCUCACACCAUUCACAACAGCAAUUAUAAUAUACCUCAAUCC
rnacentral:lncRNA from 1 species